rnacentral:rRNA from 1 species
CAGUCGCCGCGGUAAUACGAAGGUCCCGAGCGUUGUUCGGAAUCACCGGGCGUAAAGGGAGCGUAGGCGGCGUGGUAAGUCAGAUGUGAAAUCCCGGGGCUCAACCCCGGAACUGCAUCCGAUACUGCCAUGCUAGAGGAUUGGAGAGGUAGCUGGAAUUCUUGGUGUAGCAGUAAAAUGCGUGGAGAUCAAGAGGAACACUCGUGGCGAAAGCGAGCUACUGGACAAUAACUGACGCUGAGGCUCGAAGGCCAGGGUAGCGAAAGGGAUUAGAUACCCCAGUAGUCCCUGUCUCUUAUAC